GGUUCGUGAUGGGACUCACCUCUGCUAAUGCAAGGGCUGACUGCCAUAAUCACCUCGUAUGUGGACAUUUAUGACAUCCCAAGACUCAUAAUUUCCCUUGAGAAGUUCCAAGUUUAGUAGAUGGAAAAGAUGUUGCCUGCUCCAGAGCAGUGUCUUCCGAUGAAGGCCCAGGGCUGCAUCCCAAACACCCCCACCGACAGCUCAGCCAACAGGACGGAUCACGACUGAAACAGAUGUUCUUGCUUCCCCGGCCAAAAAGUUGGAGUCCCUCCCUGGAGAUGAGACACUUCCCUUUGACACCAGAAGCACCUUCCUGAUUUCAUCAGAUGAGAUACUUGUUUGGGGAAUGACCCCAAUGUCUUGCCUUAAGCAAACAAAUAAAAUGUUUGAAUUUAGUGAGGGCAUGAACC
rnacentral:lncRNA from 1 species